rnacentral:lncRNA from 1 species
CCGGAGUGAUCCGGCUGCGGGCCAGGGUCUGGGAAGGGGGUGGUGGGUCGCCGUUUCAUCAGAAGCCGGAGGACGGGCGCCAGGGGGCAACUUCCUACAGGAGGGCGUCCCGUUAGAAUGACAGGGCUUUUGCAAAAGUCUGACACCCGUGGCACAGAGCGCCCCAGAUAUGGAGGGUUUCACAGGCUCAUGUGUGGCUUCUUCAGUCCUCUCUUCAUUCACUCAUGUAUUCAUUUAUUCAACGACAUAUUACUAAGGAACCUCCUUAAGCCGGGAUGCUGAACGUGGAAAAAUAGUUGACUCUUGAACAAUGUGGGGGCUUGGGGCACCAACCCCCUGUGCAGUUGAAAAUCGACAUAUAACUUUGACUCGCCAAAAACUUCACUACAAUAGCCUGCUGCCAACCUGAAGUCUUACCAAUAACAUCAACAGUCAAUUAAACAUAUUACUAGGCUGAAAAGGAGAAGGAAGUGAAGGGGUUGGUCUUGCCGUCUCACGAGUGGCAGAGGCAGGAGAAAAUCCAAAUGUCUGGGAUGUUUCUCUUGCAUGCCUCUGGAAUCAAAUGACUCUGAUACUGCAAGCACUUCAGAGUAUGUAUAAGCAAUUUCAGCUGGUUCCGUCCUGAUAUUUACAAAACUGCCUGGAUCAUACUUACAACCAUGCAAUGAUAUAUAUUUCUAUUAAGAAAGCAACGAUUUGCUUGAAAGAUGAAGGAAAACAAACUAAGUAUUUAUGUACAAUGAGUCCUAAGUGUACACCACUAUGUUUUCCAUCAGCUUUUGAUUUUCUGUCACUCCUCUUUUUCUUUGAAAUUUAGAGUCAGAAGUGAACUGACUUCAUGGUUUUCCUCAUGAUUAUUUGAUAUCCUCUAGGGAAUCAUGACUUAAAGACUGCAUUCUUCCUUCUCAAAACUCAUGUUAAAGAUUUCUCCAUGCAGAGCCACAGGCUAUUUUGGAGUUUGAAAUGGAGCAGUUAAAACUAGGAGGUCACACACGUUGAGAUUAUUCCUUCACUGCAUCUCGCCCGGCUUGUGUGCCUGAGGAGACACGCAUCUCAGAGGGCAGAGGGGCAGCCGUUGUCUAGUGAGGUUAUUUCACCUACUAUAUAAUAAAAUGUACAGGACAAUA